rnacentral:sRNA from 1 species
AUAAACACAGAUUUGACUGCUAGACUCCCAGAUAGAAGUCCAGAUCUGCAGAUCACAGCCUUGGAGUCAAGGCUUAAGGGAUCAUGGCAAACAAAUCAUUAAACUGUUUCAGGCUAGUGCCCAGAUAAACCAGGGCUUCAAGCAACAUCUUCCAGGCGCCUGGAACCUGCAAAGACUUGGAGGACUGCAUAUCUGUUUCCUCAAAAUAAACCAGUAAUGCUGCGUAGUCUCAGAUCCACAAUCUGGAAGAAGCAGCUCAACCUGUAACCAAAAUUGUAGACCUUGAACAAACCAUGUGAAUUCAACUCCACGGCGCCAUGUGUGACCUUACACAGGUCCCUUAUCUCUUUGUGUCUGAGCUCCAUCUGCAAUCAUGGUAAUAUCAUCUACUUCUACAGAGAAGUCUUCUGUUGUAAAGGUUAAUUCAGUACAUGUAUGCAAAGUGUUCCUACAAAGCACUGCUUUUAUGCCUGCUGUGUGGUCUCUGUUACUAUACCCAUGACCAUCAUCAUCAUCUAGGUUCAUAACUCUUAGUGAAUUCUGACUUGAAAUGUGUUCACUGUAGAAGGCUCCAAGCCAUGCGCAAGUAAAGAAUUAAUGACGUGAACUGUUUCUUUCACUGGAAUUUGAUCAU